AACGAACGCUGGCGGCAUGCCUAACACAUGCAAGUCGAACGAGACCUUCGGGUCUAGUGGCGCACGGGUGCGUAACGCGUGGGAACCUGCCCUUAGGUUCGGAAUAACUCCCCGAAAGGGGUGCUAAUACCGGAUAAUGUCUUCGGACCAAAGAUUUAUCGCCUUUGGAUGGGCCCGCGUUGGAUUAGCUAGUUGGUAGGGUAAAAGCCUACCAAGGCGACGAUCCAUAGCUGGUCUGAGAGGAGGAUCAGCCACACUGGGAAUGAGACACGGCCCAGACUCCUACGGGAGGCAGCAGUGGGGAAUAUUGGACAAUGGGCGAAAGCCUGAUCCAGCAAUGCCGCGUGAGUGAUGAAGGCCUUAGGGUUGUAAAGCUCUUUUACCCGGGAUGAUAAUGACAGUACCGGGAGAAUAAGCUCCGGCUAACUCCGUG
rnacentral:rRNA from 1 species